rnacentral:rRNA from 1 species
CAGCAGCCGCGGGAAUACGUAGGGUGCAAGCGUUAAUCGGAAUUACUGGGCGUAAAGCGUGCGCAGGCGGUUAUAUAAGACAGAUGUGAAAUCCCCGGGCUCAACCUGGGAACUGCAUUUUUGACUGUAUAGCUAGAGUACGGCAGAGGGGGAUGGAAUUCCGCGUGUAGCAGUGAAAUGCGUAGAUAUGCGGAGGAACACCGAUGGCGAAGGCAAUCCCCUGGGCCUGUACUGACGCUCAUGCACGAAAGCGUGGGGAGCAAACAGGAUUAGAUACCCCAGUAGUCCCUGUCUCUUAUAC